GAUGAACGCUGGCGGCGUGCCUAAUACAUGCAAGUCGAGCGAACCACUUCGGUGGUGAGCGGCGAACGGGUGAGUAACACGUAGGUUAUCUGCCCAUCAGACGGGGACAACGAUUGGAAACGAUCGCUAAUACCGGAUAGGACGAAAGUUUAAAGGUGCUUCGGCACCACUGAUGGAUGAGCCUGCGGCGCAUUAGCUAGUUGGUAGGGUAAAGGCCUACCAAGGCGACGAUGCGUAGCCGACCUGAGAGGGUGAACGGCCACAYUGGGACUGAGACACGGCCCAGACUCCUACGGGAGGCAGCAGUAGGGAAUCUUCGGCAAUGGGCGAAAGCCUGACCGAGCAACGCCGCGUGAAUGAUGAAGGCCUUCGGGUUGUAAAAUUCUGUUAUAAGGGAAGAACGGCUUU
rnacentral:rRNA from 1 species